GUGAGGAAUAUUGCGCAAUGGAGGCAACUCUGACGCAGCCAUGCCGCGUGCAGGAAGAAGGCGCUACGCGUUGUAAACUGCUUUUAACCGGGAAGAAACCCCAGGACGUGUCCUGGGUUGACGGUACCGGAGGAAUAAGCACCGGCUAACUUCGUGCCAGCAGCCGCGGUAAUACGAAGGGUGCAAGCGUUAUCCGGAUUCAUUGGGUUUAAAGGGUGCGUAGGCGGAGCGUUAAGUCAGUGGUGAAAUCCUGCAGCUUAACUGUAGACUUGCCAUUGAUACUGGCGCUCUUGAGUGCGCUUGAAGUGGGCGGAAUGUGCCGUGUAGCGGUGAAAUGCUUAGAUAUGGCUCAGAACACCAAUUGCGAAGGCAGCUCACUAAGGCGAUACUGACGCUGAGGCACGAAAGCGUGGGGAUCGAACAGGAUUAGAAACCCUUGUAGUCC
rnacentral:rRNA from 1 species